rnacentral:rRNA from 1 species
GAUGAACGCUAGCGGCAGGCCUAAUACAUGCAAGUCGAACGGUAACAUGAGUAGCAAUACUUGAUGACGAGUGGCGCACGGGUGCGUAACGCGUAUGCAAUCUACCUUUAACUGGUGAAUAGCCCGAAGAAAUUCGGAUUAAUACACCAUAGUAUAUUUGAAUGGCAUCAUUUAAAUAUUAAAACUCCGGUGGUUAAAGAUGAGCAUGCGUGACAUUAGCUAGUUGGUGAGGUAAUGGCUCACUAAGGCUACGAUGUCUAGGGGAUCUGAGAGGAUUAACCCCCACACUGGUACUGAGACACGGACCAGGCUCCUACGGGAGGCAGCAGUAAGGAAUAUUGGACAAUGGUCGAAAGACUGAUCCAGCCAUGCCGCGUGAAGGAUGACGGCCCUAUGGGUUGUAAACUUCUUUUGUAUGGGAAAAAACCCUUCUACGUGUAGAAGGCUGAUGGUACCAUAAGAAUAAGGACCGGCUAACUCCGUGCCAGCCGCCGCCGUAA